rnacentral:rRNA from 1 species
UGGCGACAAUAGCGCGGCGGUCCCACCUGACCCAUGCCGAACUCAGAAGUGAAACGUCGUAGCGCCGAUGGUAGUGUGGGGUCUCCCCAUGUGAGAGUAGGGAAUCGCCAGGCA